rnacentral:lncRNA from 1 species
GUCUCGCAGGACCAGCUUGUAGUUCUUGUACUCGAGGAUCUUGCCGAUGGGCAAGAUCGAGUAGGAGUAGAAGACGUAGUCGGUGGUGACGUUGGGGUGCUCGUUGCCGGCGUCAUGCAGUGAUGGCGGGUUGGAGCUGGACCAGAUGGCGGGCCCGUAAAUGCCGAGCCCGCCGUUCCACUGCAGAAGGAAGGCGUAGCUCCCCUGGACGGACUUCUUGCCGCUGCUCCACAGCGGGUAGUUCAUGUCAUGCUUAACGGCGGCUUCGCCGUUGGAGUCAACGGUGAGGUAGCAGUCGGUGCCGAGGCCGGUGGUGUUGGUGGCCCAGGUCUUCUGGUUGUGGAAGCGGAGGACGAGGUCGCAGUCGUGGUUCAUGGAGAGGGAGGCGGGGCCGUAGGGGAUGCCCUGGGGAGUGAGGUCGUACUGGAAGCUUUGACCCGGGAGGAGAGCGGUGGGCGGGUCGGAGUAGAUGACGAAGUCGGUGCUGGCCAUACCAAGCGGAGCGAGGAGGCCGACGAAGGUGGCGAGGAGCACGAUGAGAAGAGCCAUCGGAGUUGGGUGAAUGGCGCUCAUCACGUAGUUGAGAUUGGCUUGUCAUGAACAACGAUAUAAAAGACAAAGGAGGCGUGCUCGUGAUGGUACUGUAGGUGCGUUUCUUCGAGGAUCUCGUGAACACGAGAUCCACAUGCACCCUUGGUUCAAGAGAUCCACAUGCACCCUUGUUUAUUAUUGGUAUUUACGUGGCUCCAAUUGGACUCUACGAUACGUCGGGGAUGCUUUCGCGACAAGGAACAACUUGAACAGAGAGAUAAGAGAUUCGGACACGUGGAGGGAGAAGAUAUAUACUAUGAAGUACCAAUGAGAGCAUUUCCUUUGUCUGAGGCAGAGAGGUACCUAACACUUACAUGAACGUUGGGUGAUGGCAAGUGAUCGAGGUGGAAAGUCGAUUAUAAGAUCUUGCUGACAACAAGAGCUAACACUUUGGUUUGUAUAUUAAAUGUGCAAAUUGCUGGAGCGCUACGCUUGCUGCAUUGGAUCACGGAAGUGUUUGGUAGCGAUACAAAAGGAAAGUAAAUGAGCAUUAUUAAGAUACAAGCAAAUGGAUAAGGUUCAGGCACCCCACACCACCCCGACCUCCCAAUAGACUUGGGCCAGUGGGGUCCUCAGUCAUCUUGUCUUGUCUGUCACGCCGACUCUGACGUCACCGUCUCACCCGAUCAGAAGCCUAAGAACCGCAUUGAUGGAUGCAACGUGCGCGCCCCGACAAACAAAUUGAAGCAGAAGAACCCCCACAUCUUUUACUUAAGAGAGUCAACGAGGCAAAUCCAGUCCAUGUAAAACAUGCAAUAUGGAAUCGAAAGAUCUGUGUCCAAUACAUAUAUGUCCGGACUUUUGGAGUUUCCCCUUACUGUAGUGUAAGCCUUAAGCAGUUUAUAGAUUAAAGUGGCACACAGCGAGCAGAUGGACUUUUCUAUUACAUUGCUCACAGCCGUAGCAGAGGAUAAAUUAAGCCUUCUGUGGCCAGGUUCUAUGGUGGGAUGAUCAAUCUAGAGCAGCUUUGCUUCUCCAAACACUGAUCUGUUUCGAUAGACCAUAGAAAAUUGGCCUUGUAACAGUAUCAGGCUUCGAAGUCCAUUUAGAAGAAGAGGUCCAUACAGAGUCAUUUUCUGAUUCCUGCAAACUCGGGGUGCUUGAUGACUUCCUUACUGCGAGAAACCCAUUGGCUACAAGAGACUCCUCCAAUGAACUUGUGCUUUGGCGUGCCGACUCAGUAUCGUUGUAACUCACUAGCAACUGCUUUGGGGUUAACCCUCUCACCAUCCUUCCUAGGAGGCUUUGGCUCUCAUCCUUGACAACUGCCUCGGAGAUGCCGAAAGGAUCAGCAUCGGCUCUCUGACGCCGCCUGACAGGCUUAUCGGUCUUGGAAUUCUCACCAUCACUGGAAUCCCCAGAUCUACUGACUAGUAAUUCUUGCAUAAGGUCACCUUCUUCCGAAAGGAAGCUGUUGAUGAAACCUCUUGACCUCCGAGGCUGUGAGUUAGAAGCCGGUGACACUUUAGGAAGUGGUUCAUCUUUGGAGUUCAGUGCACCACCUGUUUUGUAUAAGGUCAUUUCGGUGCCUUCAGCUGUAGGACUCCUUUCAUGUUGUGGAAGAUCAUAGUAUCUUCGCAAGCUACACAUGGCAGACGAGAUUUCACGAUGUUGUUGGGAUUUCGACUUCAAUGGCUGGGGAGAAUCUAAGACAUCUCUCUGAGGACGACAGAUAGGAGUCCGAUCCCUGUGAGUACAAAUACUUAAAACUCCAUAAUAUUUUACAUUACAACGGCUAAGCAAAAACAGAAGCUUUUACCAUAUAAAUUGCUUAAAAGAGAAAAAAUAAGGCUUAUCAUGUGCAUAAAAACACAGGCCUCUUAUCAAGGAAAAAGCUCUAUAUGAAACCAGCAUGUCGACCACUACAUAAAACCGCUUGACAUCGAUUAAUCCCAUCUACAAAAAUCCAAACCAGCUAUUUGUAUCAUUAAAUGUACUUAGAUGUUACCCGAUUAUUUUAUCGUGAUUACAAAAAGCCACCAGAACAAUUCACUCCACCGUAUGCUCAGCUCCUGAUGUUUGUUUUGACAUUUGCAUUCUUUCGAUUUGACUGUGUUUUGCCCCUUCCGGAAGAUAUUAUGCAGAAAAUGCAACUAAUAUAACACUAAGUAAGAAUUUGCAUAUUCAUAUAAGCUGCAAGUCUCCCUCGUUCAUGUCUUGAUCAUGCAUGUUUAGAAUUUAAAUUUGCCUAUGUUCCACUGGUUGAAAAAUGCAAACAAAUUUAAGAUGUAGCAUCUUAAAGGCUUAAGGCGCAUGCAAGGGACCUUCCAUGCAUAUCAAAUUCUUGAGGAGGAAACUUUACCAAGAAUUAACUCAGCAACUCAUUGUAGCUCUCUUAGGCUCCUGAAUGCAACAAUUGCAAGAUAUGAACUUAAGCAGAUCCUUUAACAAGUCAAAUAAAUAGGCAGAUUAAUGUUUGGACUUAAAUGACAAGUCAUCAAGGAAUGGUUACAACAACAUGACCAGGUCUUCGAUUGCUGACAGAGGUCAGAAGCAACACGGUAAGGAAUAUGACAUGUGAAAGAUAAUGCAAGUAUCAGCAGUUGUCAUAUUCCUUCAGAGACCUAAUAUAUUUAGUAGAAGAAAGAUAAAGAGAUAAUGCACAGCUGCAGCAGCAACAUAAAUAGCAUCAUGAUCAGCUUGCAAUGUAAUUUCCUCUAAAAUAAAUAUAUUUCAAGUUUUGAUAGUGUUUAGUUGGAUCAAUAACAACUUAACAAAGAAAAUAGAAUAUGUUUCAGCAAUAGAAAAACAUCUAAAAAAUUAGAAAAAUAUCAUAUUAUUUCUCCCAAUUAUAAUAAUAGUGGUUAUUACGAAAAACAGAUCCCUUCACAUGAAAGAAAAUAGAAACAGAGGGGGCAAUAGAGCAUGUGUUUUGCUUAGAAAGAUUUCCAAUCAAGUAAAUACUUGAAGUCAACCAUGGAGAGUCAGGAACACCAAAACUGAGAGAGUUAUCCCUUCCCUAUUUCUCAAACAAAUAUAUUCAAUGUAUAUCAACUUAUCACCAUACUAUUAGAAGAUGAUUGACCAUCUAAUAGCAUAGGAUAAAUGCUUGGAUCUCAGUGAGGAUCUAAAGGUGUAUUUAGAUUUUGUAGUGUCUUAAGAUCAACACAGUUAUUUGUCCUAUGAAGAAAGCAGCACUCAUAUAAGUAGCAGGCAGUAUGUGAGAAAUACCUGUUAUCAACAAAACCAUUAGAUCGAAUAGGAGGAGAUGGGGGAUGCCUUCCAGGAAGAGGAAUAAGCAAUGAUUUGUGAGCAAACAUCUGAAGAUCCAUCACUAGACCAUUAAUCCGUUUGAUAUCUGCAACCUUUUGGUAAUCAACAAAGAACAAUCUCGUCACUUAAUCAAACCAUUAAACCAUUCAUCCUUGCUACAUGAGAACGUUGCUGAUAGUUUUUCAAGCAUUAGUUAGAUCAUAUACAAUAAAAUGCAAUUGUUCAUAGUGAAAACAGUUCAUUAAUCUACACGAAAGAGUUCUCCGAUGAAGGAUAAAGUGCAUUAUGCCGAGAGUAUACUUACCAACAACCAAUAAAUUCCUUACAUUACAUUACACAGAUUCAAACUUGCGACUGCAACUUACCAACAACCAAUAGUGUACUAACCACUCGAAUAUCUCAACAGUGAUGCAAUACAAAAGUACAGAUGCUUGAAGGCCAUGCAUGACUUAUGUAUAUCUAGUUGCCAUAGGAAGGCAUAGCUGGCUGUUAUCACAUCAGCUUUGACAUUUUCCUUUUCUUUUUUUUUUUCCUCUUUUCCAAGAAGGUCGAACUAAUGAAAUUGGAUCCUCGCUAAGCUUUCUCUGGAUAAGGACAAUGGUUAGCUAUGAAAUUCAAUUCAAUUCAAUUCUAAAUUAAAGAAUUGCAAAAUUGCGGUUCAAUCCAAGAAUCUUGCUAUCAUCAGUCAAGAUUUUUACCAACUAAGCUACGUGACGUGCAUAGCUAGCUUUAUCGUUUAUUACACUCCUCAAGCUACGUUUAUUACACACCCAACGAUUAAGCAUGAAAAGAAGAAAGUAAAAGGGGCCAUUAUUUCUUACGCAAUAUUGAUCAAACAAGAACAGUUUUCCUUAUUCUCAAGUAACAAACCAAUCUCAUCAGGUAAUCCAUCCAGCUCAUGCAAAAGCCACAAAAAUCUACGCCAUAUUUAGCAAAAGAAGAAUCCCAAUUACCUCGACGCCGUAUUUUAUGGCGAUGCCAGCAAGCGUGUCCAACUUGGACACAUUAUGCUCGAUGUACUUCGCACCCGAAGAAUUGGACGAACAAAGGGAGGGAGAGGGAGAGGGAGAGAGAGAGGAAGAAAUCGACGACGGGAAGGAAGCACCGGCAUCGCUCUUCCUCUCAUGGGAAAGAGAUCCCAUCUAAGCCCUUUGAAUGAAGAAAGGCCAAACAGAAUUCAAUCGGAAAAGAACACCUAAAAUUCCGUGUUCGAUCGGCAAUGCCAGAGACACUGAAAAGAACCCUAAAUCGAUAGAUCUCGAGCUAGGGAUCAAGAUCUCAUCGGAUUUCACGACGGGAUUCGGCUCGGAACUGGUGGAAUGCAGCGAAUCCAAGCGCUCCGCUGCCCCAAGAAUGGAGUGGGAAUCUGGGGAGGAAGAGAGUGGGAGAAGACUUCCUUUUUAUUUUGAAGCUCACACGAGGCUUAUAACUGCGGCUCGACGCGGUACGAGGGGUCCGGUGGUACGUGUCAAGACGCGGGGGGACGUCUAAGAAUUCUUCUGUGCAUUUUCAAGUUGGGUUGUCGCUGUCUGACAGAGGAGAGGUGUGGGUGGGUGUAUUAUUAGGCUCUUUCCCUCCUCGCCGCUAGUUUCGCUUUAUUAGGAUUCUUUCCACCGACGCUUCUAAUUAAAGAACGGCGGAAUCUGAUUGGAUAAGGAAUUCCAUAUGACAAUUAAUUAAUUGGUAGAGGAACGGUAAUAGUGUGAUUGACUCAUUAUUUUAGGCUUUCAAAAUUUCAUAAGAUCUCGACUCAAUGAUAAAUUCUUGAACCAUUAGCAGAUGGAAUUAAUCAUUUGAAUAAUACAUAAAAAUUUAUUACACUUGAUCAGAAUGAAUUCCUACUGAUCGAAUGAACAAAAUAAACAAUAUUAAGCAGUAGCAUAGAAUCAAUCGUGUAAAUGAAAACAUACUAUUUUUCAACAAUUCAUGGGACAAAUAUGUACCGAUAUACCAACCUGUAUAUCAUGAUAUCAAUCAAAAAAAUAGAGAAAAAAUAAAGUUGGUAUCGACUGUACGUACCGAUUGGUCUUUGAAACCUUAAUUAGACACCAGCCAUCAAUCCGAUAUAGCAGGUCCACUAGAUUUGUAUAGAAAACCAUCGUUUGAAUUCCACAUAAUGAUUUCUCUGAGUAAAAGUAGAUGAUGGUAUCCCAUGGCCAAAUCUUUUGCACUUCAAUGCUCAUUUGAGAGUAAAGUUGAACUCAGUAAGAAAAUAAAAUUGAACUGGACAAGUUAUUGACAGAGAAAUGAAACAGUAUGUACAACCCCAAAAAAUAUUGUGGAAGGAGAGGAAAUAUACUUUCACCAAGUAAAUUUGGCUGCUAAGAGGCAUUUACAAAUUUAGGCAAUACACGAUAAAGCUACAGAAGGAUCACACUGAAUCAGUAACCUAUUGAUUCUCUUGUAUCGAUCAUCUUCUGCCACUUUCUUGGGCAUGCAGAAGGCUGCUUCAGAUAUUAGCCUGUCAUAUACAGAGAUAUGUUACGGCUAAAGAGAAGAAAUUACAGGACAAGAAAAGGUUUUUGUACCAUGAGAACAGAUGUUCUUCUCUAAUCUCCCAGAAGUUGUAUUUCCAUUCAGGACAUGCUUUCUCCCUGCAAUGCAAGCCACAAAUCAUGCUCUUGUGAACAUGGUCAAUCCUUCCUCUAAAUGAAAACUAUCGCUCAGGCAUGUCGCUUUGUUGAUGGGAAUAAAGCAUUUGGUCCUCGGUUUCCAUGCUUCAAACAUUGUAUGCCUCAAGCACCUUAAAAUCAUCCUAAGAUGGACCUCAAUCACAUUUCAUGGUCUAAAAAUCUUCAUAGUUCUGGAAACCUGGGUACGACAGAAUGGGCAGCGAGAAACAGCAGCAGAGCAUCUUAGACAUAAAACAUGUCCACAGGGAACAAUCGUGAUGUUCACCUCAGCACUAAGACACACUCGACAUGACCAUGCUGUCUUAGCUGCAUCAGCUUCUCUCACUGCUGCAUCGACCUUUUCCUGCAAAUAUUUUGAUGGACAUUAAAUGCAAACUUCCUGCUGAUUUGUAUACUCUUACUGACUACCACGACAACAUACAGAUCAAAGGCAAAAGACAAAAAAAGGUCACAAAUAAAUGAGUACUAGUGAGAGUCUACAAGAUAGCUAUUUUUGGUGUUGGCAUAAGAGAUCAAGCUUUACAACCAAUAUCACAGCUCCAAAGUACAACAAUAUGAUAUUAGGUUUGUUUUUAUUAAGAUACUAUUAAAGGUGAGAUGAAAUCUCAAUCCAUUUUUGGCAGUCAGUUAAUCACUUAAAUAAAUCUGGUUGUCCGAGUAUGAAUGAAACAGAUCUCUGCAAUAACACAUUUUCUCUUCUGAGCUGCCUAAUUAUUAUGUGGAGUGUCAGGAUAUAUAAUUUGUCAUCAGAUCUCAUGUCCAUUUGGGCAGCACUUCUAAAGCAAAUUCUCCUUCAUUAUCACAUAAACCAGAUCUACUAUGCUCUCAGAGUCAGCCUUCUCCAUCACCAACAAAAUAAGUGGAAGUUUAUCCUAAAUCUAUGCUAAUUUAGCUUCGAGGACUGUUUCCUAACCAGUUACUAAGAAAAAUCUUGAGUAUCCAUGUUUUCAUGGAUAACCAUUUAGCAACCAAAGUAACAGAUACUUAAGUUCCAAAAAUGAAAAAAAAGGACCCUUUCUUUUUGAGAUCAUCGGAAGGCUGAAUCCCUAUGUUUUCAUAUCACAAUUUCCGGUUACCAGUUAUUUUUACCUGGAGCACCACACUUUCAUGUGAGCCACCAUGGAUAGACAUUAGGGAAAAGAAACCCUCUCUGUUGAAGAAACCAAUCAGCAAUGAUUUUUUUUUCACUUCCAUUGGUUACUUGGGAAUGAUUUAGUUGCUUCUACAAAAUAUUAAAAAACUUAAUUGAGGUUUGAACUAAAAUAGCUCACUAUGGCGAUCAAGAAAAAUCCUUUUUUUUUAAGGUUUACUUAGUUCAUUAAAAUUAUUUCAAACUCCAAUAUUUUUUCUAGAAAUUUUUGGAUAGACUCGUUGUCUUAAUGUACAAAACAAUAUGUUUUUUCCUUUUUUUACUUUCCUCCACUUUGUCUAGGUGUCUGUAGAGAGUCUGGGAGAGGUCUGGCCACAAAGACCAAAUAAGAGGGGUUCCCAACCUAUUUACCCAAAGUGUCCAAAAAAUAUGCUGGUGCUAAUAUGGGUUUCAAGGUCAUAAAAUUGAUGUGACUAGUUUCUUGUCGUAGAGAUAUGACUUCUCUGGUUAUGCAAUUGACAUCAUAGCUCAUAUUUAAUUUGUCCUUUAGAAUAGAGGUUUAGGAAUCCAAUUUUUGGAUGUCUGCCCUUCAAUAGAUCAUAAUUUGGCCAUUCUCAGUGUCGACUAGUUGGGAGACUUAAAUUCUAUGUGUGUGUGAGAAAGGUUCUCAUUUUCAAUUCCAACUUGAGAUAAAAUUAAUUACUAGCAAAUAACCUCACUACACAAAAGAAUUGUUACCUUUGUGGUUCAUACUUCCAUGCUAUUCAUUAAAAAGUUUGUUUAAUCAUUUUGAAACAUCUUCACUCCAUUUUAUCAAAUUACACAAAAGGAUAAAAAUGACUUUCUUGUAUGAUAUGUGUAUGAAAGAUCUUAUUUUGUACAUCAUUGACAUCCCUAUAGACUACCACAAGAAACAAAAGAAACUUUCAUGAAGACAACAGAUAUUAAUUGCAUCUAUAUUUGACCACUAUGUUAUUGGUAAUUUUUUAUAUUCAAUCUGACAUGUUCAGCAACAUUUAACUAUAUCAGAAAUUUUGGUUUGUGAAACAAGAAAUGCAGGAACCUAGGAAGAAACAAACCUGCUCGACCAAAAGAGCAACCUGAGAUUCUUUCAGCUGUUCUUGCAGAGUUAACGUUGUUUGGAGAAGUGUUUGCUUCUCAGCAUCCAUAUUAAUUCCAGCAGCCCAAAGCAUGUCAUGGACUGCUUGCACCAAUUCUUGCGCAGAUACUUUUCCAUAUUGGAGUUCUUUUGAAGUCUGCCAUAAAGAAAACCUUUAGCAUUUAAUGAGCUAAGCCCAACUAAAAAAUAAUUAUGAGCCCUUAGCAGUCUAACCUGGCUUUUCAUCUUCUCAUUUCCAGAAUCCUUGGAUGUCUGGCCAUGAAGCAUUCGAUUUCUGUUUAUGCCUUCAUUGUCCUCUCUUAAGGAUGGCAUGCAAGCCACAUUGGACAUAGAAACACUUUUGAAAGAGAAAACCUGUGAAGAAAGUAGUACUUGGGUUUCUCCAGGAGCAAUCUCCACAGGAAAUCUGUACAGUGCUUGACCAGCUGAUGGCUUUACAUCUUCUGGAACUCUACCAUACCUAAGUUUCUCCCCUUCUCUUCCUGUCUUCCAUGCAACUAUUUCUCCUGAGUAAAAUGGUCGUACUGGAAGGAACUGCACCUGAAGAGCAUCUUGAGAUAAUAAUUCUUUUCCCACUAAAGAAUUGUUUUUACUUUCACGUUUUAUGGUUCCAUGUUCAGACCCUAAUUUUAGUGCUCUGAGAACUGCUUUUUCUGAACCAUCUUGGCAGGCAAAAAGUGGCCCAAAUGGUAGAGUCACCGGUGCCCCCAAAACCUGGCUUGUGACAGUGGCAACUACAUCAUACACUGUCAUAAAACUUGGAGGCUCUGCAAUCAAAAUGUGAUCCUUUGAUUUGUCUAUGAAGUAAACAGUUCGAUGUUUAACACUGUCGUCCCAUUCAACAAUGGUGGAAUGCUUGGUUAUCCGUGUAAUAUCCAGGAGCUUUGGAAGUAAAAGAAAUCGAGUGUGGAGCCAUUGAACAAAUUGCAAAUUUUCUGCAAUAUGUUCCAGUAGAUGCCUUAUCUGCGAUAAACCAAGGUCUUCAAGUGAUGGAUAGUGAUUAGAAAUGUUACCCAAUAACAUUAACACUGCCUCUUGCAAUGAUUUGCUAAAAAGCUUUUCUUUUACUCUACUAAGAGACACAGACCCAAUCUGGCUAACAACCUGUAAUUUUGGUCCAUCCAAUUCCUGCACAAAAUAAGGAAAAAGAAACAAUUUACAGUCAACAUUAUGUUCAUUUCAGAGAAACCUACACCAUGCGAAAAGGUUGUUCCCGCACCUCAAUGACAAUGUCAGAAAGUUUCUUGACACCAAAGGCCAUAAAUAUACUUUCCGAAAGUUCUGGAUGAGCAAAUCUUAACCUGGAGGUGUCUAUAUUACUAAGAAAUUGUGACCCAUAGUAAUCAACAUAUACACAUGAUCUUGCCAGAACAAGCCUGCAGCCAUCAUCUGGGAUUAUUGCAUCAGAUAACCAAUCUAGUUCAGAUGAUGUUGAAAGAACAACCUCAGAACACAUAAAAUUCAGAAUCAUGAUUACCGCACGAAGUUCAUUAGGAUUAAGGCGUUGAUACCCACAUGAUUUUUGUAUGUUUAAAAGAAGUUCUCUAGCAUAGGAAACAGUAAGAACCUCCUGCAUCCCUAUUUCCUUGAGGAUUUUCACGAAUGGGAGAUAUAAACUAGGGAGUUCAAAAGCAAAUGGUGAAAGGUUAACCAUCAGACGAACAAAAAGAGAAUUCACGGUAACCAAGCGAGUUCCAUUUGCUACCGGCACAAAGGCCACUUUCUGCAAUUCUAGAAUAUCUGCCAGAAGAAGGUUAUAUAUAGAAGAAUAAAUGGCCUCAUAAAUGAAUUGUAACUUCAUAACUUGUAAAUAAUUAAUAAAGCCAUUUGAAUUUAAAGAAUUGAAGGAUGACUAUAUCCACAAGUAACAUUUGAUUUAAAUUAGAAAGGUAAAAUAAUUUGAGUUUUGAAUAUCCACAAAUAAUUUGACAUCAAUAAAUGAAGUGUUUUUUGCAUUUCUAACCAAAUUUCACAAUGAUUCAAGGAUAAAUAACCAAAUAUCAGCAUAACAAUAUACUGCCAAUCUCAAACAUUUUUUACUAUAUUUGUUUUUUUUUCUGGAAGUAACCACUUUCAUAUGGUAAAAGAAAGAUCAAACCUAAGAGUGCUAGCAUUACCAAUAAACAACAUGUCAUGUCCUAUCAGCUUGGUAUCUUCUGGUGUCAUUACACUCAUUGGUCUCAGAGCAUUUAUCAUGCAACAAGUCUGCAUUAUGAAGGCCUUAGGAAGCGGGUGUGUAAAAAGAUUUGCCUUCUUAGGCACAUCACCUAAGCAUAUACCAGCACAAAAAUAGGACAGCAUGUUCCUUGUCGUAUCUGUGAUAUAGAUCUAUUUUGAUCAUCUACAGGUGCAGGAAGAAGUCUUUUACAUUGGAGACCUUACUGGUAGCUUUGGAUGCUUACCAAAAUCCACCUUUCUUAGAAAUGUUUCCUCAUUCCAGAUUAAUCAUCCAAAGCAUAAUCUUCAGGAUCAAGACUAAUCAAGCAUGCACAUUAUUUUAAAAAUCCAAAUCAUGACAAAGGCAUUUCAAUUUAAAUGUUGUUUCAUAUGUGCAACAAUUUAUACGUAACCGAGAAUUGCUGAUGGGUUAGUUGUACUACUACCAAAGAAUACUGAUAGGAUAUUUUGUACUAUCAUCUAUAGUAUUUAAGGAACUAAAUUCAUAAAUAUUAAAACAAACAUAGCCAUCAUGUGUGAUCACCUCAAGCUUUGGGACCUGAAGUCUUAACCUUGAAGACUAACUUAAAUAUUAUGACUUUGGUUCUCCUUUUGGAACUUUUAAAUCUGAUUCAUGCUGUGACCAUCAGACAAUUGUUCUCAUGUGAUCCAAAGCUAUGCUUAUACACAAUAAGGCGGGUAAGUGAAACCUAUUCCAUAAAUAAUAAGACUAACCAUAGUUGCAGAAGCCACAAAUGGUCUAUUUGCAUAACACAUGACAUAGACAAAUAUGAUGAUAAGAUACCUUAACUGAAUUUAGGAAAAAUUUCAAUGAGAAGAAUAAAAUCCAUUAUUCCAUUAAACAUCCAUCUGUUUCCAGAAUAUCUACUUGACUGAGAUUCAGUUUUGAGAAUAAGGUAUUCAGAGAUUGUGUACUUCUACUGUUUUGGCGUCGAUUCACAUUUAAUCCUGAUAAAGCAUAAAUACUUUCAGAUUUAGCAGUGUCUUAGGGACAUUUUUAAAUAUAUUUGAUGCAUUUUCUCUUUAUUUCCAUAGGAAUUGCUCUGAGCAGCAUAAAAAUUACAAGUGCUAGCAAUAGUCUACAGUAUGUUCUCAUCAACCCAAAGGCAAAUGUAGAUUUUCCUACUCUGCAACCACCUCCAGAGUUCCGAGCUUGUUGUCUUAAAUAUUCAGUUUCCACACUAAGAAUAGUCCAUUAAAACAUGCUGCUAUAAAACCUAGAGAUUAUAUAAUCUUGAAUUUGACAACCACAUCUGGCUAAUUACAGUUUAGUAAUGAUGCAAAUCUACCAUAUCAUCAUUGCAGAUGCAUUAACCAUAAUAGAGCAUUCUGUAUCCUAAGCAAUAGUUUAUUCAAACAUGCUGCUAUAGAACCUAUAGAUUUUAUAAUCCUGGAUUUGACAACCACAUCUGGCUAUUUACAGAUUAUUCGAGAUGCAAAUCUAACAUUAUCAUCAUUGCAUAUGCAUUAGCUUGGUUUCAGAUAAUCCAAUUUAACCAUCUUCAGAAGUGACAAUGAAAUUUAAGAUAUAUGCAGAAAAUUUUCUUGCACAUCUCAUAUUGUUAUUAGCAACCACCCAGUAUCACUAAAAACAAUUAAAAAAACCAACCAGUAGUGAGCUAUAUGAUGUGAUAUUAGUCAUUGAUCAGGCCAGUAAAUAUGGCCUAAAUUGAUCAAACCAGUAAAUAUCGGUUGGUAUGAACAAGUCCAACAGGUAUUUGAAACCUUAUUUAUUAGCACCAUCCAAAACAAAAACCCAAGUGCUAUAAAUUUAAUCUAUCUGGUACAAUAUCACAAAGCCUAGGGAUUAGUGGAGAGCAACAAUAAUUGUAUGGCCUAAAAUGUAUAUAGAUAUGCAUGUAUGUAAAUAUGCAAACCUGAAGAAGAGAGUGUUCCCCAUAUCUUAUCUAGGUACUUCAAAAUAUCUAGAAAGGCAUCUUCUACCGUCAUCAUGCCUGUUGAUGUAGGCCAGUGUGCAAGGGUAUCUUCACCGUUAGCUCUUCCAACAACCUAAGACCAUUUUUCUCAGAAGUCAAAAACUGUAAACAUGUAAAUGUAAACAUAAAAUUUCAUUUUGUCACCUAACGAUGUGUUCAUUCACCUGCAAAUGCUUCAAGACUGUAGAAAAAAGCGGAGGACUUCUCAAGCGAAAUGCUCCACAGGAAUAUUCAGGAGGAACAACAUUUUGCUUGACAAGAAUUGGAGCAAUGGUCCAAGCCAAUGGCCAAUCUUUUAACAAGACAGCAUCACUAUAUGAAGUAAGUACCCUCUUCCCACCCUUCUUACCACCAAUACUAGGGAAACCUUUCUCAGCAGGUAUAAAUGAAAUCUUCCCAAGAUUCUCACAGAAAGAGUUGUCAUACAGAGAGGCAAAGUUUGCAAGUAUUGUUUCUACCAAAGAGACAGCUAAAUUCCAUACUUCAAAAGAAACAUCAUUUUGGUUACCUGAGAAAUCUGCCUCAAAAUCAUCUGCAUCCUGCCUGUCACCAAUAUGUUCAUUUCCUAGCUUCUCUAUUUGCCUUGCACAUUCAAUUAUGGUGUCAGCUUGCAAAAAUGUUCGAAGCCCUGUUUUCUUUAAAAUCUGUAGCCAACCAUCUGUAAUGAACCUCUCCCCAGGAAACUUGUUGUGUUCCCCAGAGAAGAUUGAUGUCAGCAAACAAUCAUGAGGAUCAAGCAGGUCCCGUGGUUUGAAUAGCUCUGAACAAAGUUCAUUUGCAUUACGUACAAAGCUAGUCUCUUUCAAGGAGUUCACUACAGUAGAAUCUAAUUGUAGGUCUUUCCAGUUCAAGUAGAUGUACAACAAAAUAUCUUCCUGUUCUCCUGAAGUUUUCCUCUCAAAAUCAGGCAAGGCAAAUCUCACUAAAACAUCCUGAUCUCUUAGCUCAUUUAUUCCAAGAGCAUGGAAUAAAGCAUUUGCAUCCAUGGUAUUAGAAAGACACCGCUCAUCUCUAGGACGAAAGAAUGUAGACGGAGAAAGAAUACAUUGAUCAGGGCUGAAUAACCUUGUAUACGUACCAAGAACAGUUCUAAAUAUGGGAAGUUCUCUCAACAAAUCUAGCUCUUCUCUUUUAUAUGGACACCCAUUGAAUGACUUAACAUCCAAAGCAAAUAGGGCAAAUAGUUUGUCACGGUCUUCAUUUGAUAAAUCAACUGGCACAGAAAAAUAGCCAGCAACUUUGGCAGCAAGUAAUUUUGAUACAACUACCUGACAAAGAGUUUCGGAAUGUGCUGGGAGAAUAUUAUUGGGUACCCCAUACUCCAGGAAGGAGACAUCAUAUACAGGUACAUUAAAUUGAUUAAGAAGACAAAACAACCAUGGAUAUUUUGACUUUGUUAAUUCAAAAGCAGAAUAAUACAACUUGUUUAGUUCAAGGUUUGGAAUAUUAUCCACAGAAGAAUCCAGUAAUCCAACCUCUUCACUAUUGGUUCCUGAAGUUCCAUUCACAAGAUUUAAGUCUGAAAUUGGUGGUACAAAUACUAGGUGAAGCUCUUUAACACGACACAAAACUGGCCCAUUCAGAAAGGCAGGAAUUAAAGGCCAAUCAGCUAUAAGUGAUAGCUCACCCUUUAAGGCUGUAAAGGUUUUCCAGAAAAGUUGGAUCCAUUCACGAGUGGGUCCAUCACCUGGUGGGUCAGUAUUGGUGUUCCAUGAAACCCAUGGAGCCCUAUUACUGCUCAUUACCUGACUCACCCAUUGCUCAUUAAAAAGAAACUUCAAAUUGCUUGACAAUAAGUGAGCAGAGAAACCUCUCAAUUUUAAAUACCUUUGGAUGUUUUUGUCAGAAAGGAGGGCAGUCAAAAUAUGCUUUUCUAGACAUAGUGGAUGGACAAAGCCAUCUGUCAAAGGAUGCAUAAAAGAUUGCUGCUCCUUGCUCCCAAUCCAAAGCUCAGUCACUCCAAGCCUCACAAGGUGCUUUGUUGCAGUUGGAAACGGUAUGCCUUUGAGUUCAGCAACUACAGAUGGCAGUAACCGAUCUGCAUAUGGACCAGUACCUGCAGUAGCAGGUAUGUAGGACAGAGUAUUACCUGUCCUGCCAAUAUCCUCAACAACACCACGACCAAAAUCAUAUAAAGCCUUGCCAAAAUAUGUAACAAUUUCAAGUGCAUCACCACCUGAAUUACUGGAGUUCUGGGCAGCAUUUUGAUGGGAUCUGAGCACAUUUGUGUUUGAAGGUAUGAUGCUUUCAAUCUGCAAACUACUCCCUUCCCCAGAUCCAUCAGUUCUUAACAGACCGAAUGACUGCUGCAGCUGAAUGUCAGAUAAGCAAUAUUCCAAGACAUCUAUAUAGGUCUCAAUAGAUCUAACUAAAACAGAUGAGGAGGAUUUGAGGAGAUCGCGAACCAUCUUAGGCUUAAUUUCUUUCGUCUUAAUUCCAACAGCCUGAAUUUCCCUGACCAAUUCCCAUGGUACAGAAAACACAGGAUAAUGUUCUUUUAUGAAACUGCAAACAUUGGUUGGUGGCAAGUUGCUGUCAUCUCCAUUUCCUGAUUGAGAUAAAAACAUGCCUUCAUCAGCUUUGACAGCAUUUCCACCAUAAAGUUGCCAGACAGGAAGGUCAACAAGGCGCAUAUAGAAAGGUCUUAUCACUUGCUCAAUUAAUGACUGCCAAUCUGCUUCAAUUUUUUUAGAUGAACUUGAACCACUGGCAGCAACAUCAAGCUCACUAGAGAUGACAAAUUGUUGUUUAGACCUUGGCCAGAAAGAGUAAAUUUUAUCACCAUAAGCCUGCAAAAUAGAGCACACGGAACGUGCCAAAUUUGGCUCAAUCGUAGAACUGAUGGGUUCCUUCCUAAGCCUUUGAAAUUCCAAAAUCAAUUCAACAUAUGCAUCACGAACACACAACAUCAAUUCUCUGUUCCAAGCUUCAAUUAUAUGAUUUCUAGUUUCAAGUUGUAGCUCUGGAAAAGUUGUUUCAUGAGGACGGCUAAAAAGAUACCGCCCACCAUCAUGGCAUACAAGAAAACAUCCAAGAGCAGUGACAGGCAUACUUAAGGCUCCAGACAGGGGAAGAGGAGACAAUACACAGCUGGAUGUAUGAGCAUUUAUAGGAUGACUAUUCUUAGAUAUCUGAGCUGCAACUCCAGCAAUGGGUGUUAAAUCAUAAGCAAGAUACCUCCUGAAAAGAAGCUUAAUUAUUCAAUUGAAUGCAAUGAGAAAGUAGCAAUCCUAAAGUUACAAGUAAUCAUUCUCCAAGACACAUUUCACUUGGUCUUGCCAUAGGUUUAUGUAUAUAUAAAGGAUAUCACAACUUCAACAACUGACAGAUAUAUGUUUGUCGAUUAUUUUGGCUACAUUUUAUGUCUCUUAUCAACAUUAAGAUGUGUCACAUGCUUCACACAACAUCUUUAUUGGAUUUUGAAUACAGCUUUUUAAUAUAUGAUGAAACAAAAGCAGGCCUUCAAAAAGAGGUCUGCAACAAAUAUUGACUAGGAUAUCAUGUCAACUGACGUUCUUUAUUAUUUUCUCAUGAUAUGAUGAACCAUUUAAGUAUUUUUUUCCUUUGAACAGUGAAAGAUGCAACAAAUAUUGACUAGGAUAUCAUGUCAAAGAUAAGAGCCAUAUCAAUUAUUAUUUAUAAAAUAACUAAAAUUCACCAGUCCAAUACUACCAGAUAGUUAUCACAAUUCAAAAUGGAAAAAAAAACCAGGUGAAGCACAAAGACUUCAUAAUGCAGAUAGAUUAAUCUACAGUCAUCACAAGUGCAUUUCUUAUGCAUUGGCCUGAAAUAUCCAACUGAUGAAGUUAUGAACAAAAAAUUUACGUCUUUCAGAGCAAUAAUUGUCGUACCACCCAAAACGAUACGAAAUAAGUGGUACACACUAUUCCGAGUGUGGACCGAUAUACAGCCCACCUCCAUUUUCGGCUGUUCGAUCCAACUGAGGGAAAAAAAUGAAAGAAACCUAAAACAGCAUUGGGCCCAGGCCAAUUCAGUAAUUGAAAAAAAAAAACUCCUCUUCCUCUUCUUUCUUCUUCAUCCUCCACCUCCACCGCUUCCUCUUCUUCUUCUUCCUCCUCUACCUACAUCGCCUCCCCUUCUUCCCCCUCUUCCUCCACCGCCCCUUCCUCUUCUUCUUUUGUCUUCCUCUCCAAAACACCAGGACAGUCCAACCCAAUCACUGAAAUGGGAUUGGUACUUGAAACGGUGAUCCUUGUAGCAAAGGCAUAAUAUCAACCCCUCAACUAUUUAGGAUAAGAACCAAAUGAUACAAGUUUAUUUCCUAUAUCAUUUGAUUAUUUGCUUAUUAACCAAUAUCCUUGUGUAACCUAAAUAAAGUCCUCAGAUCCAUGAUAUUUUUAAUUAAAUCACAUCUUAAAAAUUCAUUUUGAAAAGCAUACCUAUCAAGGGCCAUGUUUCGAGUUUGUCCAGACCCCAAAGAAAGUACUACAAGCCAUUUAUCAACAGAUAUACUCCCACCAUUAAUCACCUGAACAUCUAUCACAUUUAUCUUUGUGGCUGCACCGGAACCACUAAACAAUCUUGAUAUAUGAAACUUUCUCCAUUUUUUUUCUGAAAAUGGGUUCCUUGAAAUUGCAAAUGAUGGGUCCACUGAUAUGGAGUAAUUUAAUGAUGGGUGCAAACUUCCCUCAUCCCACGUUGAUAAAGACACCUGAAAUCGAAGAAGAAUUUAGUGGUAUAUGCCAAAUAUGAAAGAAAGCUGCAAUUUGUAGUAAAUGAACGAAAAAAAACCCAAAUAGUGCCUUCUUAUUUAAAUAAAUGUAUUAUUCUGGGAAAGAAAGAAAACAAGUAGUCUCCACAUGUCAGAUUUUACUAGCACGACAUACCAAAUAAAGAGAACUAAGGAUUUUGGAGUUCCUUCCAGAAAUGAAACUAAGAAUGCUUUGACCCCAAAAAAAGACAUUAUCAACUAUAUGGAAGUGAAAAACUAACAAGGGAGAUACAUUUUGUCAAGUAGUAUAUCAAUUAACAACAUAUAAGAAAAUGCAUCAGCUGACUUAUGUCAAAAGCUAAAUUUCAAUCCUCAGCUGUAUCUUGUCAUGCUAGUAAACUAACUUGUCAAAGUCUGGAUUGCAAAAUUCAGAAAACUACAUUUAGAAAAGAUAAACCCAACCUCAAUUUCUGAUUAUGCAACUGCAGCUUACUAUGCCAAUUUGUUAAAACACAAACAAGUAAAAGAAAAAGGUAAUAUUAGAUAUUUUUUCAAAAUUCAUUUCAUUUUAUUUGGCACAUUGACAUAAUAUUAUGUUGUAACAAAACAAUUGAUGGUGACGAUCACAAAUAAUGACAAAAAGAAGAGAACUGCUUCAGUUCUCAAGUCCCACCUGCAACAACUAAUUGGAGAUUAAGCAAAGUAGUCAAAUAAUUCUAACUCUACGUUGGUGGCUAUUUUUAUAGAUGCAGAUCAAUCAUCAGCACAAUGUUCUUAAAAAGAAUGCCAUAUAAUUUUUUUAGAGCGAUUACAAAGAAUAUAAAAAAGAAAAUCCAGGUUAAGAAAUAAGUAACUGGACAUAUGUGCUAACAUGCUAGCAAGCAAAAGCUGCAAAACUAUGUACAACCUUUUGACUUUUGAGUAUAAACUGUAGAAUCAAAUGACAACAAUAAGACAGUCAAGGAGGUCAAAAUGAAGGAAGCAAUAUACAGAAUCAAAUAAAAUGUUUAUCUUCGAUAUUUAUUACCUGCAGAACUGACUUUAAGAAUAGAAGUGAUGAUGAAGCAUGAUGCAUAAAUCGGUCAAAAAUAUGCUUCACUCUUAAACAAUCAGAUUCUUCUUCUUUCCUGCAUUUUGAAGAUAAAGGCAUGCGUAUAACCAUGGAAUUAGAUGAGGACACUGAAGUCUCCUUAUUAAUUAGCAUUGGACUGAAUUGAUCGUUGAAUCUCUUAGUCAAGUCAGUAUCUGUAAAAUAAAUAAGCCACACAAGAAAUAUAGACGGUGAGUUAGUAAAGAGCAUAUGAAACAGAAGGAUCUGAUAUCCUGAGCAAGCUUCAUUUAACUUUGGAAACACUAAAAUAGGCACUAAAUGGUCACAAAUGUUUCUUGUUCUUUAUUAUCUUAAUGCAUGCUAACCUUUUUGUUUUGGAUAUAUUUAGAUGGCAUAACCUCUAAAAGAACACAAACAAUAUGGACAGAUAAAGAACCUAUAUGCUGGUUAAACUGAAUACACUGACAGAAAAUAAAAUAGAGCCAACAUCACAACAACACCAAUUAAGAAUGUGAACAUGAUACUACUCCCGAAGUUAUUUUAGGGAACUCUACUACCAACCUUAUAGAGGAAACUCUGGCAUCAAUAAAAGAUUGAAUUUUCACAAGAACAAGAAACAUCUAGCAAAAGGAUAACAGCAGCAAUUAAGAUGUACCAGAGUGUCAAACCUUCCAAGAUCUUGUCUAACAAAUAAAAUAAUUUUACUUAAUCCAACAAAAUUUAUAGAAAACAAUAAUAUGCUUCUCACAAAAUGUGUGCUUGCUAAGUUGACUUUUUGACGGGACAGAAGCAUUACACUCAAUAGUAGUAAAAGGACAUGUACGUAAAUAAUGCAGAGGUAACAUGAUCAAACGUGAUAAUUAAUCUAUGGAACCAUGGUUUGCCUUAUCGGUCCAUACCGGUGUACCGAUUGACCAUCGGUAUGGAAUGUAUCGAUCUAUACUGACAUAUUGACAUAUGGUACGACAGAGUGUACUAACAGAACAGUAUAUACCACUCAUAUCGGUCCCCUAGUGGACCAAUACAUACCCCCCAUACCGGGUGGUACACUAUGGUAUGACGAACCUUGCAUGGAUGAUAGAACCAUGGUUUGCCGUACCGAACAGUACCGCCCGGUACGGGCGGUACGUACCGGUCCGACAGACUCUCGGUACGCGGACCGCCUCUUACCGUUCCGGUACUGUAGCAGUACUGUAGCACUGUAGCACUGCUACAGUGCUCGGCACACCCGGGUGUACCGCUCGGUACACCUCGGUAUACCGGUCGGUACACCCGUACCGUACCGUACCGAGCGCGGGUCGAAACGCCGGUACGGUACGGUACGGCGAACCUUGGAUAGAACAACUGCUUGCAUGAUGGAAUUCGAUCAAUAUUCACACUCAACUAAACUUUAUAAGCCCAUGACCCAAAUACAAUUGGACCUUCUGAAAAACAUAAAAAUUUAGAUCUGAUUUUGCAGUAAUCAGGCUCAAAUCAAAGAAAGACAGCAUCGUGGACUAUCGUAAUGUAGUAAUAAUGACUUCAUCUAUUACUCCGGACAAACUUGAUUACAGAUUUAUCAAAGAUUUACAGAAAAUGUAUACCAGCCAAGUAAUAUAAUCAUCCUGUGAUUUCAAAUCUAGAGAAAUAGUGUUCCAUGAACAUGACACAGGUACCAGUCAACAUAUUUAGAUAGUAAAAGACAUGAAGAUGUAAAAAUUUUAGGUUUACAGUUCGAUGUACCACCAGAAUCAACACAGCUAAUGAUUUAGAUCAUCAAUUUUCUAAAUUUGUGAUAAUUUGAAGUCAGCAACCUAAACAUGAAAAAGUACAUAAAUUUCUAAAUUAACCGUGGGAUUGAUCUAAAAUAAGUUAACCAGUAGGUAUGCAUCAUCUUUUCUAGCCAUGAGGCCCAUGACAACUGUAAUAAAACAUCAUCUGAAGAAUUGCACUAAUGAACAUGUCAAACAUGUGAGACAGCGAAUUUGUAUAGUAAAUAGAAUAAGCAACACCAGACCUAUCAGGGAGAACAAUCUUGCAGAGGGGCCACCAUUUGAAUGUGCAGCAAGAGCCAAGCCAAGAGGAUCGAAAAUGUAAAAGUAACCAGAGGAAACAAUGGUCAUGAGGUCACAGAUGAAGUAACCACUUAUCAAGCCUAACCCAUAGUGAAGAGCACUGCCUUGAACCUUCCAUGGAGGAGACAGGUGAAGAUUACAUAUUUCGUCCAUGCUCAAAGUUGGUCCUUCCAACACAAUUGUUAAAGAAGCAGACUGAAAGUCACCUGUAAAACAACAAAAAUAAAGAUCAAAAUCAAUUAUAAGUAGAAAUCAUGAUGUACCUAGUUUAAAGGCUGCCAUCUAAAAAAGCUGUUUUAUGAUCAUUGCAAUAUGAAACCCCAAGUCCAGAUGACCUCAAACCGCAUAAAGAGACCAUACUAACCUAGAUUCUGUUGGAGCAAUGAUUGUCGAGGAUGUUCUCGUUUAUCAUAUAUCAGGUGCACUUUCUUUGCCUUGCACUUGUCAGCCAACUCUACAAGGUCAAACAGUAGAAACUCACUGUCUCCAUACAAGGCAAGCAGCUCACAUAUUGUAGCAUAAUCCAUACAAGGCAAGUCCCUCAUCAUCUCCUCAUCAACUAAUGACAAGCUACGAAGUGAUUGUACCCCUAGAGUUCUAGCCAGUUCGUCGUUAAUGCUUGGGUGAACAAGAUGCUUCUCACCAGGAGAAUUGUUCUUCAUCCAUGGUGCAUCAUUGUAGACAAGACUCAAGGUAGGCAUCAGAAUGCCUGAAGAAUCAGGAAUCAGAAGUGAAUUUAGUAAUGCAUCAGGUAUUCGCUUCUCAAUAUAACAGUCAGCAAAGGCUUCCAAGACACGACGAACAAAACUCAACUGCUCAGCUGAUAAUGGUUCUUCACUAACAUCACGAUUUAAGCAUUGCAAUACAUGCACAUAAUCAAUAGCUUCAAAGGUUAAUUUGACACCUAAUUCAGAAAGCAAAACUCUAAAUUCUGAUAACUCAGAGGGAACAACAUAAAGAUAUGGAUGGUACUUCACGGGUGAGUCAAAUGCGAGCAACCUGGGAAACACAAAAUUGUCACCUAUGAACACCCAAGGAACACCAUCAAGAUAUUCUUUAAGAACUUUGAAUCUAUCAGUGCCAACAAAUUCCUGUAAGUACAAAUAGAUUGAGGGGAUUUCUCUUGUCAAGACUGUAUCGACAGAUGGUUCCUCCUCUGACUGCGUUUUUAGUUUAUCAUAGGACCUUGAGAGCUCAAUUAGUUGAGAACACAAGACUUCUAUAUUUGGUUUAUCCUUCCAACCAAGUUUCUGCUGAAGGUACAAUGAGCAGCAGUCACCAUCAAGAAUUCGCAUUUUGGAUGACACAAUCCACAUCUGAGAUUUUGGCCUUGUAGCAUUUGGAGAUGCCACACAAUUUUCUGAAAUGAACCAUGGAAGUCCAUUAACUGGUGGCGCAACAUAAACAGGACACCAAGCAAUGGUUGCCAACUCUGUCCAGAAUUCAUCUUCUGAUUGAUCAUGAACAAAGUUGGAAAAAAUGUCAAAUUCACCCUGAUUAGAUCUGCAGAGUCCAUCUAAAGGGGCUUCCACUUGUGAAUCUCCAAAAGCAAAACUAUCACUCUUGGACAGUAUCAAGGAAUCACAUCUAUCAUCUUUUUCAUUGACGCUAGACUGUGAGAGCUGAAACCCAAGAAAGUUUAAGAAUUCAAGAAGCCUUCUACCGUAAGCAAGUGCAUCGCCAUUGCCCGAGUCAUGUAAAAUUGAAACUGUCCUAGCACCAUCAAUUAAACUUGUAAAACUCAUAGAUCUUUUUAGGCCAAGGCUUACAAGAGAAUCGAGCAUUUCAGCUUUGAUAAGCUUGUCACAAGGAAAGAACACUUCUUUAUGAAGCAUAUUCUGCAAGCCAGGAACACGAGGAUCAUAAAGCCUGGAGAAAAAAAGUUAGUUCAGAUAGUUAAAAGAAAUAAUAUUAAUCCUUGAUAAGAAUGCAUGCUUGUUGAAAACAUGUAACAGAAGGUAUCAUGCAUGCAACUUAGAUGAAGAAUUUUUUUAAGAAUAAGACUUCAGGAUCCAUUUGGUAAUGAAGAAACUGGAAAGGGGAUGAGGAUGAGAAUCAUUUAUAUUCAAUGUAAAUGUUUUACUUACAGCAAUAUCAUUCUCAUUCCAAAGAAGAUCCAAAUUACCUUUGAAACUAAAAUUGACAUUUUCAAUGUUAAUUUGAUUCCCACCUCCCCUUAGGAAUAAAUUCCAAUUCACAGUUUCACAUUAAUAACCUUUCUAUCACUUGCUUCUUUCCAAAAUAAAAAUAAUAUAUAUUUUAAUUAAUGUAAAGUUAAAAUGAUAUGACCAAAAUAUAGAAGUAAAAAAAUUAUGUAACAUGAUAUAAAUACUUAUAAUUAAUAAAAAAUAAAUUUAAAAAACCCAAAAAUUAAAAAAAAAAUUAAAUACAAAUGUAACAUAGUACAAAAACUAAACAAUAAAACAUAAAACUAUAAACAUAUAUGAAAAUAUAGAUUAAAAGUAAUAUUAAAAUAUAUAUACUAUAUAUAAUAUAAAAAAUCAUAAUUAAAAUUUAAAAAUUAUACAAUAUAUAUGUGAAAUUAAAUUAGUUAUUAUAAUUGAUACUAAUGUUGGUUUUUAUUCUGAGAUCCAUAAACCAAACAUGUAAAAGGACUUGGUCAUCCCAAAUCCGAUUCAACUUGAUUCCAAUCCACUAGAUUUUCAAUUUUAAUAUCAAUUCCAGUAUCAACAAUGAACUAAACACCACCAUGUAAUGUAAGAUUGGGUUUGGACCUAGAUUUCUCAAAGCUUGACUCAGAGAUAUGCUGGUAAAAGCAACUUGAGUUUAAUCAAACUGGGACAGUUUGCAAUGGUACUGCUUAACCGGUCAAAUUUUGAAUGAUUUUGACAAUUUUUUUUACAAAUUCCAGUCAGAAGUCCUAUAUAAUUAAUUGGUUGUAGUCACCAUAAAAGAAUGUUCAAAUUUUACAACCUCAAAACUGGUUCAAUAAUAAAGCAAUAACUGCCAUUUCAGAACCAUAUAAGUUAUAAUUAAUCAAACUCAAUUAACAACUUUCAAAAGAUUACCCUCCUUGGCAGCUGCAACUAAAAAAGAGAAGGAAAAGGAGAAAAGGGAGAAUAAAAGGAAGAACUUAGAGCCUGGGAAGGAAGAAUGAAUAAUUGAGGAAGGCAAUAUUCCUAUUUUUUCAGCUUGGUUUCUGUUUUCCCCUUUUUCGGUCAGUAUAACACAGCAUACCUAGGGUACCUUCCAUACUGAUUCAAUUAGCAAGAAAAUGAUUCUGCUGCUGAAACCCAUCAGGUGAUCAUAAAAAUCAAAGCAGACCCUGUAGUCAAAGAAGAUCUCACUAGAACAGAAAGUAGGGCUUUUGUAAUGUCCACUAGAAAAUAAAGUAGAUCUCACUAGAAUAGACAGCAAAGUAAUGCCUGAAUUUCAUGUAGAAACCUUGUAUUACAUGGCAGCCUGAUUACUGUUGCAGAGGCAUUAUACCAAGUCAACAAAUUUUAAAUGAUUUCAUCAGACGGCUGGUUUUAAUUGCAGAGAUAAUUCCAGCAAAAAUAUUUAAAUGAAGAGGAGAUGAAGAAAGGUAGACUGAUAGAUGAUUAAAAAGUCAAUAAGAUGUGAAGAAAGAGAAAAUAAAAGGAAACAAAAGCCCAACAGAAAGAGCAGGCCAGCAGGUGAGGACAACAAGUGCUUGAUCUUUCAAUUCAAUUUCUAAGAAAACUGCUUACAAGGUAUGUCAGAAUUCUAUCUAUCACGUCAAAAUUCUUGGACCUUGGGCUAUCUUAAGCUCUUAACACUUCAAUGGGAAAAAAGUAUCAAACAAAAUUUGAUCUAUUCUGAACCUGAGAUAGAUUCAAACCUAGGAUAGUAACUGUCCUAAAUUUAACAAAUCCAGCUUCUCAUUUCAUUCUAAAAAAAGGAAGAAGAUAGCACCAAAAUUCCUAAAGGAAAGAAUUGAUAUUUGACCAUUGUUUUAUCUGGACCGAAGGGGGUCGUUGGACUGGAAAACUGAGAAUGGACCAUUGACCAAGCCGAGAACAGAUGAUUAACCGCUCUGAUUCACUUAUUAAAUCAGUUAUGUUAAGAAAUCGGAAUGAACAGAUUGACUUAAUCAGUUUUUGGAUGACCCAUCUGAACCAACUGGGUUGAAUAAACUCAAUCCGUUUUUGUAGAUAUGGCCAUAAUUACAUAAAUACCCUUAACAUAGAUAUUUUUUAUUAUUUGUUUAAGAGGAUAGUUGUAUCAAUUUUGAAAUUUGGGUUAAUGUGAAAAAGAAAGUGGCCUUUCUCAUGCAAUCACUUCUCUCUUUUGAUCGCCCUCUCUUCCUCUGACCACCUCUUCUCCCUCUAGUCACCAAACAUGAGGAAAAUGAACCAAACAUUGUAACAAAUAAAAAAUGAAUUUGAAAAUUCAUGACAUGAUACUAAAUUGGCUCCUUGGUGUAGAACUAAUAAAUGACAUUAUAAUAAUUAAAAGAUAUUUAAUAUUUAAUAAAUUCAUAUGCAUCUGCUAUUUAAGUCAUGACAACUAUGUUCGAUGCUACCUGUACGAAACAAACGGUAUACAACUGUUAAAAAAAGUUUAAACAAUUCUUCAUCAAUUAGGGAUGGAGAAUGCAAGCCCUCUUCUUAGUGCAGAUGGAGAGCAGAAUCGCUGCUAUCGUCUAACACCACAUAUCUCCCCACCAUUACCAUUCAACAUCGCCUAUCUCGCCCACCAAAGUGUGCUACUGACUGCAGGCAGGGUCUGUCGUACCGAACCGUACCGCCCGGUACGGACGGUACAUACCGGUCCGACAGAUUGUCGGUACGCGGACCAUCUGUUACCGGUCCGAGUGCACUGUAGCACUGUAGCAGUGCUACAGUACUCGGAUACACCUGGGUGUACUGCUCGAUAUACCGUAUCGUACCGGUACCGAGCCCAGGUCGAAAUACCGGUACGGUACUGUAUUACGAACCUUGACUGCAGGUAUACUUCAUCGCUUCCUCUUCUUCCUUCUUCCUUCUCUUCCUCCAUUGCCUCUUCUUCCUUCUCCUCCUUCCUCCCCAUUUGUUCCUCUUCUCCUUUUUCUUCCUCUUUUAAACACCGGUACAUACGAAUCUGGUAGGGACCAAUACAGAUCUAGUACAUACUGGUCCGACCAGGGACCAGUAUAGUCUUGAAUUUGAUUAAUGUAAUUACUUUCUAGAAAUUGUCAUGUGUUAUUAAUCUGGGUAUGAGUUUAUGUUUAUAAUGUUGGUUGAUCUUAUCAUUUUUAUCGUAUUCUAUAUGACUAAAAUUUUGUUUUCAUUUGUUUAAGAUUUUAUUAUUUUAUUUUUAUAUUUUAUAAUUUUUUAAUAUAUAAUCUUAAUUUAUUUAUAUAUUUUAAAUUAUUUUUAAUUAAACAUUGAAUCAAACCAAUUAACUAAUCAACAGGGAUUCAGUAACCCAAGGCUUGACCAUAUCCUUUUUGGUUUGGUUCUGGUAACUAUGCUUUUAACUUGGACUCAGAUGCAUGUGAAUAACAUCAUAAAGCUAAACAUGACCAGCUUCAGGUACAUUGACAUUCUCCUCCUUGAUCUCAAAUAUGGCUUCCUUUACCUCCAAGUUGAAUCAUUAUAAUCCUGUUAAUACAUUACCUUUCCACAUAUAAUUGUGAAGUCUUCUCUUGUCAAACCAAAGCUCCAGGCUCCUAGCUGGAGCAGAGAUGGACUAGGUCUUGGCCAAUCUAUUUGUCUUAUUUUUAGAUGGAACCCAAAAGUUUAGGUCUCAGAAUAUAUUUUGACCACAAACCAUAGGCCAACCUACAGGUUUCCCAUAUUUGUAAUUUGAUUAACAAAUUUCACUGUAAAUUGAAAAAUUAAAGGGAACCAUGAUUCUCAGACUGACACAAAAUACCAAACUAAAAAGCAAGACUAAGUUGUCCUAGUUUAAUAAACUAAAAAGGGUCUCAUUGUGAUUAUUCCACAUUAGUAAUUGUUUUUCCUAAGAGUAGGAGAAAAAAAGGAGACCACACUUUUAUAGCAUAUAAAGUGUGGAAGCCUCUGAAUCAGAUAUAAUAGCAAAAUGAAAUAAUAAACAAGGAAAGAUUAAAAACGACAGUCUAAUGGACAAGGCAAUUAUGGUAGGAAAGCCAUAUUGUAGAGACUGACGGUAAAUAAAUGAUAUGUUUGGUGUUAUAAUAAUUUAAACCAAGGGACAGUUUUAGGUUUCUUUAAAUACUCUCUCAUUUAGGAGAGAGAAAAUAAAAGAACAGAUAAAUAUAAACUAACAACAAACUUGAAUUUCUACAAAGACUUCUUAAAUUAAUUUAACUGUAAACUGUAGUAAAAAUAAAAUAGAAAAUUAUACAAGAAAUUGCUGAUAAAACAAAUGAGCCUAUAAUUGGUCAUGAUGACUUACAGUUAGUAGUAGUGAAGAUGAGUCAUGAAAUCAAGCAGUUGUAAAAGAAUGAAAAGGGUAACAGUGUGGAAAAAAAUGACCAGUAGUUAGUAGGAUUAGAAAGGAUUUGAUUGCCAAUAAGGGUACGAAUUGUUCUUGUAUAUUGUGAAACCACAUGAACUUUUAUUUGAACAUACGCCUGUCAAUCAGUGAUAAUCACAAGCUUCGAUAAGUGCAAUUUAUUUCAUCUACCCACACAAGAUUGGUUUGGAAUACGUGAAUAUAUCUUCUUACUCCAAAACAUGCACAGACAAGCAUGGCAUAAAGGAAAAUAUGGAUAGAGUUACUACUCCCUAUGUGUUUUGUUAGCCACAUUACUGUCCUACACAUGUAAAACUUGUACAUUAUAUGGGAGUUUAUUGUAAAACCAUAACACUACAUUUUUAUUAAGAAUAGAGCAAUACAUGGUAUCAGAGAAUAUGACAUAUAUUUAAAAGUAAGCACCUGCUUAGAAGAUGUUGCAAAUGGAAAAAAUAAUUAAAUGUUAAAUCAGAGAUCAAUAAUCAUCCAGUGUGAGAAUCAUUAUCAGAAAACAUAAGGUACCUGGAAGGAUGUUGCCAGGACCCAUCGGCAGCUAAAACAAAUGGAAUGUCAGAUAGUGCAGCUUUUAUGGUAAUGUCUUCUUCUACCAAAAGUUUCACAUCAAGAAGAAUUGAAGAAAGAAUGCUUGGCUGAGAAAGGAAGUCAGGUAUACGGUUGAGCACAUGAUCCUUGUAAAAUUCAAACUUGGUAGGUUCCCUAAUGCGUAGAUAGCUUCUUAAAAUGCUCCUCUCUUUCUCAGAUUCAGUUCUGAUGAAAUUUGCAUCCAAAAGGUCCUCAUGUACACCUUCGGGUUUCAACCAUUUGACAGGACUAACCAAACUGGUAAGUUCUCUACUCCUGUAGCACUCAAAUACAGGGAGAAGCUUUAUGGUGUCAAUGUUCCUAGUACAUAGGUGGUUGCCAGAAAACCACUUAGAUUGGAAGAUAAAACUUCGAAAUUCAUGCUUCUCUCCCACUGAAGCACUGUCAAACAAAUCACUCAAAUUCUGCUGCUGGCAAGAAAUUGCCUGCAAAGCAUUGAGAAUACCAUUUGCUGUUGCAUCCUGAACAUAGUUCUUUAACUGUGGAUGAUCUAUUGGCAGAUCGGAUCUCAAAAAGGAACAUCCUAGUUUCUGCAACAAGGAAUACAUGUUCUCACUCCACCCUUCAUCUUUAAUAACAUUUGAAUUCUCAAUAAGUUGCAAGAGACAUCCAUUUCCAACUGGUAAUAUAGGCCACUUGGCAAAUAUCGAAAGAUCUGAGCAGGAUUCCCUCAAAUAACUCCAUAGCAACCCCAUCCACUGUAGACUUGGCUGACCUUGAAAGCCUGGAGUCCAAGAAACCUGCUUGGAAAGUUGCCAUUCAGUGGGCAGGAUCCUAGGAAAUAGUUCAACGAGGGAAAAGCAUGUCAAGACAUGGAUGUUUGAUUGCCCAGAAUUUGCCAUACUGUAUAACGUUUUAAAAGCUUCAUCUGGAAUUGUGCAGUCCACAAGAAGAUGUGGAAUUGAAUCUUUAAGAAGAUCAUAUUCAUGUUGGUAAGUGAUAAAUAUCCUUUCACCCUCCCCAUGCCUGUUAAUUGUUGUGAAUGAUCCAUUUGCUAAAGGAACCAAGGGCAAUCCCUGCAACUUAUUAUAGAAUGUAGAUCCUGUCAUGUCACUUAAGCAAUAUUCUAGAGUCAUGAUCACUGUCUCUUUGUUUUUAAAGCCACGCUUCCGUCGAAUCAGUAAGGUUCUCAGUAAGUGAGGAUUCAAAAAAUGCAAUGAGGGGCAUACCUCCACAAAGUUCUCCACAAUUGACUUGGAGAACGAUAUAAUAGGCAAACCGGCUUCAGAUAAUGCUUCUGCAAGUUCGACUGCCUUUGGAAAAUCAAAAUCAGGAAAAAUAGCUUGUUUUGCUGAGAUCCAUUGUCCUCCUCUAGCCUUUGUGUAGAGGACAGUUAGUCCAAGAUCAGCAAUAGAUGCAUAUACUUUUCGUACCACUGAAGACCAUGGUUCAACCCCUACAGCAGUGGGCCAAUGUGUAAAGAAGAGAUCACAUGGACCAAUCUCUUGUGCAAGGACAUCAAGCAACCGACCGAGAGAAGGAGCAAUAACAUCUUCAAGGAGACAUAUAUUCCACUCAGAUCGUGCUUUUC